UACAGAGGGAGCAAGCGUUGUUCGGAAUUACUGGGCGUAAAGGGCGCGUAGGCGGUUCGAUAAGUCCCGUGUGAAAUCCCUCGGCUCAACUGAGGAAUGGCACGGGAAACUGACGGGCUUGAGUUCGGGAGAGGGAAGCGGAAUUCCGGGUGUAGCGGUGAAAUGCGUAGAUAUCCGGAGGAACACCGGUGGCGAAGGCGGCAUCCUGGACCGGUAUUGACGCUGAGGCGCGAAAGCUAGGGGAGCAAACGGG
rnacentral:rRNA from 1 species